UCCCAUCAGCUGUUGACGAACAGUGUGGGGCUUGUGUUACAAUUUACUUUCAAAGUAUCGUCAUUCUUGCAAUUUUUAUAUAUUAAAAGAUGAAAUUAGAUAAUCAUAUAGAGAGUAUAUAAUGAGGAAAAAUUCAUAUGUGAUCACUUGGAGCAGUAUUACGCCAGGGACACGGGCUGCACGGCUGCACGCAGUGUGGUCUCUUACAUAAGUUAGAACAGAGGUUAGAAAGAGAAGCAUAGAGAAUACGUUCGACCGAUAUGAAUAGUUGACACGAUGUUUUCACUUGACAUCGGUUUUCAUCAGAAAACGAAGCUCUGUCUGUGUCUUCGGAGGUACACUCACUACGAAUUCAACAUGAAGAAAUCAAGAACAAUGUUUUGUCAACGAUCACCAAUCCAAUUAAUAAGAAGAUUAAUGCUGGUUCCCUUAAACACGUUGAAACGCGAAAACACGCGAUAAUAUUGAAACGCGAGGAAAGUUAACAGGCUGAACCAUCUACGUCCGCAAUGUAUACGUAUACUGACAGCUACGUAGACGAAACGAGUCUCAUAAAUGCACGAAAUCACGUCUACUCACACGCACUGUGAUACUCAGAUCGGAUAGUAUCUUCGUUGAUAGAAGACGAGUCCAUAAACUCGCGUUUCACAAACGUACAGCAAGAUUCUGCGAGACGAAAUGAAACAACUAGCUGAACGAAAUGACAAAAGUGAGGUUACGUAGGUCCAGACUCGAUGACACGAGUUAUCGAGACGCAGUCUGAUAGUCGAUGACUUUUACAACAGAUUUCUCUCCUUUCUUCCUGUUCCUACCGUCUCUUGAAUCGUGACAAUGGACUAGAAACUGCAGCGGCACGCUGCACACCCAGGACGCACCACGCAAGUUCCAGCUGACGUCCUGGCGAAUCGAAGAAGUGGGGAGGGAACGGAGCAGUCAAGUGUGGUGGACAGCCCUCAUGGACUUAGAUCGGACCUCGUGGCUCAAAGGAGAAGCAUAAAUGGGAAAGCAAAAUUAGAGAUUAUUUGGUUAUGUUUCGCAACCCUUUGACUAUCAUUGGUACCUGUACGUGAUAGAAGUCAAUGCUUAUAGAAGGUUAAAGGUAAUCACUCGCUAGAUAUUAAUAAUACACCUAUGAAUGCCUGUAGGUACUCCAACUGUUCUUUUUUUCCUAACAAACGAAUAUAUUUCUAUAUUACCGAUUUUAUUUUUGAUAUAUGCAGAAUGAAAAAUGUGAAAUAUUAAAAGAAAAGAUAUUGUGAAUUCGUACACAGUGAUUAUUACCGCACUGAGCACCUCUCGUUUCCAAACAUGUCGGAUCAAAAGGUUACUUGAAAAAUCAAGAAAAUGAAUGAACUUAAAUUACUCAAAGUAAAUGAAAGAAACGUGCAAUUUUUAUUCCGACAAAAUAAUAACGAACCAAAUGGAAAAACUAUACACAACUGUUCAAUGGCAGUUUCUUCUAUGGAUCGAAAGCGCGGUCGCGAAACUAGACCGUGUUAAGCCGCCUAGAAAUGCGUCCCGUCGUCCCGACAAUGCACGUGUACUCGUUCAGAGGUACACAAGCAGCUCGAUUGUCGACGGCGAACUCGUUGUGUCUCCAAGCUUCGAACGCCUCGAAUCAGCAGGAGGAAGAGGGAAUCACCAACGCCACAGGAAGGGAGAAUCACCGAGACAGGAAAGGAGGAGAAUAAUACUUUAUUCUGAUCGACAUGCUGACGUCGGACGUCUCAACGACCAAUGAAUCAGAGAUGGUGUGUUCGAGACCUGACGCGAUCGUGUCUCAGCUACGAGCAAAUAAUCCGUAAGAUUGCAACCGAAAGGGAUUUCUGCAUUGCUGUUGUCCCGUGCCUCGGCUUGGACCACCAUUAGCUCAUCAAGUCCGUUA